rnacentral:rRNA from 1 species
UACGAAGGGGGCUAGCGUUGCUCGGAAUCACUGGGCGUAAAGGGUGCGUAGGCGGGUUUUUAAGUCAGGGGUGAAAGCCCAGAGCUCAACUCUGGAACUGCCUUUGAGACUGAAAAGCUUGAGUACGGGAGAGGUGAGUGGAAUUCCCAGUGUAGAGGUGAAAUUCGUAGAUAUUCGCAAGAACACCAGUGGCGAAGGCGGCUCACUGGCCCGAUACUGACGCUGAGGCACGAAAGCGUGGGGAGCAAACAGGG